UUUAAAUUGAGAGUGUGAUCCUGGCUCAGGACGAACGCUGGCGGCGUGCCUAACACAUGCAAGUCGAGCGAUGAAGCUUCCUUCGGGAAGUGGAUUAGCGGCGGACGGG
rnacentral:rRNA from 1 species